AGCGAACGCUGGCGGCAGGCUUAACACAUGCAAGUCGAGCGGGCCCUUCGGGGUCAGCGGCAGACGGGUGAGUAACACGUGGGAACGUACCCUUUGGUUCGGAAUAACGCUGGGAAACUAGCGCUAAUACCGGAUACGCCCUUUUGGGGAAAGGCUUGCUGCCGAAGGACCGGCCCGCGUCUGAUUAGCUAGUUGGUGGGGUAAUGGCCUACCAAGGCGACGAUCAGUAGCUGGUCUGAGAGGAUGAUCAGCCACACUGGGACUGAGACACGGCCCAGACUCCUACGGGAGGCAGCAGUGGGGAAUAUUGGACAAUGGGCGCAAGCCUGAUCCAGCCAUGCCGCGUGAGUGAUGAAGGCCUUAGGGUUGUAAAGCUCUUUUGUCCGGGACGAUAAUGACGGUACCGGAAGAAUAAGCCCCGGCUAACUUCGUG
rnacentral:rRNA from 1 species